AGAGUUUGAUCCUGGCUCAGAAUCAACACUGGCGGCGUGCCUAACACAUGCAAGUCGAACGCGAAAGCCCCGCAAGGGGCAAGUAGAGUGGCAAACGGGUGAGUAACACGUGGGUGACCUGCCUUCGAGUGGGGGAUAACGUCCCGAAAGGGACGCUAAUACCGCAUGACAUCCUGCUUUUGGAAAAGCGGAAAUUAAAGCCGGGGAUCGCAAGACCUGGCGCUUGAAGAGGGGCCCGCGGCUGAUUAGCUAGUUGGUGAGGUAACGGCUCACCAAGGCGACGAUCAGUAUCCGGCCUGAGAGGGCGGACGGACACACUGGGACUGAGACACGGCCCAGACUCCUACGGGAGGCAGCAGUGGGGAAUUGUUCGCAAUGGGCGCAAGCCUGACGACGCAACGCCGCGUGGAGGACGAAGAUCUUCGGGUCGUAAACUCCUGUCGAGCGGGAAGAAUACCAUUUGGGUGAAUAGCCUGGGUGGCUGACGUACCGCUAAAGG
rnacentral:rRNA from 1 species